AGGCCAGGCUCACCCUCACCGUCACGGUGUCCGAUGGCAUCAACGACGAGGUCUCCAGAAAGCUGACGGUCAUCGUGGAGGACCGCAACGACAACGCCCCGGUCUUCAAGGGCCUGCCGUACGAAACCUCCAUCCCCGAGAACAUGACGGCAGGCAGCAUCAUCUACACCGUUUCUGCCUCCGACGCCGAC